GAUGAACGCUAGCUACAGGCUUAACACAUGCAAGUCGAGGGGCAGCGGGAGCUUAGCUUGCUAAGUUUGCCGGCGACCGGCGCACGGGUGAGUAACACGUAUCCAACCUGGCCCAUACUCGGGUAUAGCCUCUCGAAAGGGAGAUUAAUCCCCGAUGUUGUUGUUUCACCGCAUGGUGUUGCAACCAAAGAAUUUCGGUAUGGGAUGGGGAUGCGUUCCAUUAGCUUGUUGGCGGGGUAACGGCCCACCAAGGCGACGAUGGAUAGGGGUUCUGAGAGGAAGGUCCCCCACACUGGAACUGAGACACGGUCCAGACUCCUACGGGAGGCAGCAGUGGGGAAUAUUGGGCAAUGGGGGGAAACCCUGACCCAGCAACGCCGCGUGAAGGAAGAAGGCCUCG
rnacentral:rRNA from 1 species